rnacentral:rRNA from 1 species
AUGGCCUCAGUGCUAUUGCUCGGUGCCAUUAUAAUCCUGCUGAACCUCGCAUCUAUGUCAUUGGCGCAACCUAACCACAAAUGCAGAACACAUUGCGGUGACAUUGAAAUUCCCUACCCAUUUGGCAUUGGUAUUGGUUGCGCCAUCGAACAAAGGUUCGAGGUCAACUGCAGCACGACUGCUGAUGGAAUUGAGAGGCCAUUCAUUCAUGAACAGGAGGUUCUAAACAUUUCAGCGUCCCGCGGUCAAUCCAGAGUUUUAAUGACCAUCCCAUCAUAUUGCUACAAUUCUAGUAUAGGAAAAAUGGAUUUGCACCCUUGGGAUUUUUACUUAGCAUGGCCAUAUCGGUUCUCAGACGUGCAUAACAAGUUCAUAAGCAUUGGUUGCAACUCAAUGGGAUACAUUUACACAGGCAAAUCGAGGUAUGUAGCAGGGUGUGUAUCGGUGUGUUGGAGCCCGGAAGAACUGGCAAAUGGCUCUUGUGUUGGCAUAGGCUGCUGCCAAAACACCAUUACCAAGGGAUUAACAAGCUACCAUGUCGUAUUCUAUGAUGUCGACUACCUCAACAGUACGACUAGUUGGCACUUCAACCCAUGCGGCUACUCCAUGGUGGUGGAAGCAGAGAAUUUUGUUUUCAACUCUGAGUAUAUAACCACGACAAGGUUCAAUGAUACCUACAAGGGGCGGCAACCAGUGGUGCUUGACUGGGCAAUUGGAAAUGUAACGUGUGAGGCGGCGAGAAGAAACAUGUCUUCCUAUGCAUGUCGGACCGGAAACACAGUGUGCGUGGAUUCACCCAAUGGCUUAGGGUAUUUAUGCAACUGCUCUAGCGGAUACCAAGGGAAUCCUUACCUCUCCAAUGGAUGCACAGAUGUCAAUGAAUGUGAGCACAGUCCAAGUCCCUGCCCAAAGUCUGCAACUUGCCAAAACAUAGUUGGAGGAUACCAAUGUUUAUGUCCUUUUGGCGGUAAUUUUGCAAAGGAAACAAACUCUUGCACCAACGGAUUGAUAGGAGUUAUUAUUGGACUAAGUUGUGGUAUUGGAGUUCUAUUUAUUGCUUUAGUUUCAGCUUUGUUGAUCCGAAGGUGGAACCAAGGCAUUAAAAUUAGAGUUCGAAAGGCGCACUUCCGGAGAAACAAAUGUCUUGUCUUGGAACAACUGAUUUCAUCCGAUGAAAGUGCCAUGCAUAGCACUAAAAUAUUUUCCUUGGAUGAGUUAGAGAAGGCAACCGACAAUUUUGACUCCACGCGCAUUCUAGGUCUUGGAGGGCAUGGUACUGUUUACAAGGGGAUUUUAUCAGAUCAGCGCGUGGUGGCCAUAAAGAAGUCCAAAAUGGUCGAUCAAAUAGAGAUUGAUCAAUUCAUCAACGAGCUUGCCAUUAUGUCACAAAUCAAUCAUCGGAAUGUGGUAAAACUUUUUGGAUGCUGCCUCGAGUCAGAGGUACCUUUGCUUGUGUAUGAGUUCAUAUCCAACGGCACGUUGUCUGAAAUCCUCCAUGGUGACAACCUCAGUUCCAGGACCUCUUUAACAUGGGACGAUCGUAUUAGAAUUGCUAGCGAGGCUUCAAGUGCUCUUGCUUACCUCCAUUCCGCUGCUUCUAUACCAAUCUUUCAUAGAGAUGUGAAAUCUGCCAAUAUACUCUUGACUGAUAACUUCAGUGUAAAGGUUGCAGACUUCGGAGCUUCAAGAUCCAUCUCCAUUGAUGAAACUCGUGUAGUCACAGCAGUUCAAGGUACAUUUGGAUACCUAGAUCCCGAGUAUUACCACACAGGCCAGCUAACUGAAAAGAGUGAUGUUUAUAGUUUUGGUGUGAUAAUCGUCGAGCUCCUUACAAGGAAAAAGUCGAUCUUCCUCGAUUCCCAUGGUGAAAAUAAAAACCUAUGCCAUUACUUUGUUCAAAGGCAACAAGAUAACACCAUCAAGGAGAUCGUCGAUGUUCAAGUUCUUGAGGAAGGUACGGAAAGACAGAUUGACGAGAUGGCCUCCCUUGCGAUGGCAUGCUUAAAGCAUAGAGGAGAGGAGAGGCCUACCAUGAAAGAAGUGGAGCUAAGACUGCAGGCCAUGAGAGGGAAGAUGGUGAUGAAGAGAAAUCAUGAGUUAGAAAGGCAUGGUGAAGCUGUGACAUUGUUACCUUCAAAUUAUUCCAACUAUUUCAGCACUAGUUUUGGGGCUGCUAAUUCAUCAAAUCAAUGUGUCACUCGAUGUUGUACAAUGGAGCGAGAACUAGUUUCUUGGACGGACCUACCUCGCUAA